AUUGAACGCUGGCGGCAUGCUUUACACAUGCAAGUCGAACGGUAACAGGCCGCAAGGUGCUGACGAGUGGCGAACGGGUGAGUAAUGCAUCGGAACGUGCCCAGUCGUGGGGGAUAACGCAGCGAAAGCUGUGCUAAUACCGCAUACGAUCUAUGGAUGAAAGCGGGGGACCGUAAGGCCUCGCGCGAUUGGAGCGGCCGAUGUCAGAUUAGGUAGUUGGUGGGGUAAAGGCCCACCAAGCCGACGAUCUGUAGCGGGUCUGAGAGGACGACCAGCCACACUGGGACUGAGACACGGCCCAGACUCCUACGGGAGGCAGCAGUGGGGAAUUUUGGACAAUGGGCGCAAGCCUGAUCAAGCAAUGCCGCGUGCAGGAAGAAGGCCUUCGGGUUGUAAACUGCUUUUGUACGGAACGAAACGGUCUGGGUUAAUACCCUGGGCUAAUGACGGUACCGUAAGAAUAAGCACCGGCUAACUACGUGCCAGCAGCCGCCGUAAUAC
rnacentral:rRNA from 1 species